rnacentral:lncRNA from 13 species
GUAGAGGACCAGCAGAAACAGCACAGUACCCAGCAGUGUCACUGUGCUUGAUGUCUGUAGAAGACCUUCUAUAAGAGACAUCUUCAGACUGAGCUCAUACACCUUAUACUGGGCUAAAAAGACAACACACUGAUGCUCCUUAAUGGAACAAGUGUGUGUGCUCAGAGAACUUCCACAACAACAGAACUCCAAUGAAUGUUAUUUGUAUAACCUCCCCACACCACCCUAUUGGAGCAAGAUGAGAAGAGGGAUGUUACAACCUCAGAGGAGGAGCUAAACAAUGCAACUCCAGCAGGUCUGUCAACAUAUAAUUGUGAAACUCACAUGAUCUCACCUGCAGGUCAUUGACAAACUCUCCAUAUGAUUUGUGUCCUGGUCUUUCCAAAAAAGCUAUCCAAAAAAUAUGACUCCAUCUAUGGUUCACUUUGGACCCAAGAAAGUGGUUGUUCUGGCAGGAUACAAGAUGGUCAAGCAGGCGCUGGUCAACCAUGCAGAGGAGUUUGGGGACAGGGGAACGCCGCCUGUGUUCUAAGAUUUCACCAGUGGACAUGGAAUUCUGGUUGCCAAUGGAGACUCAUGGAAAGAGAUGAGAUGCNNNNNNNNNNCUGUGUCUUUGUGAGACGGAGAGGAGUAGUAGUUCCCACCGUGAAGCAUGGAGGAGUAGGUAUGAUGGUGAGGGGGUGCUGAAAGCACACUUAACCAGCAUGGCUACCACAGCAUUCUGCAGCGAUACACUUUCCCAUCUGGUUUGCACUUAGUCCCACUGUGAUUUUUAUUGUGCGGCUGUCCGUGUCACAUCCUGACCUUAGUUCCUUUUUUAUGUCUCUAUUUUAGUUUGGUCAGGGCGUGAGUUGGGGUGGGNNNNNNNNNNAGGCAGCUGUCAAUCGUUGUUUCUGAUUGAGAACCAUACUUAGGUAGCCUGUGUUCCCACUGAUUCGUGGGUAGUUAUUUUCUGUUUAGUGUGUUGUUUCACCUGACAGGACUGGUUUGUUUAUUUCUUUCAUUCACGGUGUUGUUUUGUGUGUUCAGUUCUAAUAAAUUAACAUGGACACUUACCACGCUGCAUAUUGGUCUGAUCUUGACUACUCUUCCUCAGACGAAGAAUAGAUUCGUUACAGUCCGGUACACCAGUAUCUAUAGGUAGACUUNNNNNNNNNNAUUCACAGUGUUGUUUUGUGUGUUCAGUUCUAAUAAAUUAACAUGGACACUUACCACGCUGCAUAUUGGUCUGAUCUUGACUACUCUUCCUCAGACGAAGAAUAGAUUCGUUACAGUCCGGUACACCAGUAUCUAUAGGUAGACUUUAUCUGUAUGCUUUAUCCCUCCAGCUAUCCAAAAAAUAUGGCUCCAUCUAUGGUUCACUUUGGACCCAAGAAAGUGGUUGUUCUGGCAGGAUACAAGAUUGUCAAGCAGGCGCUGGUCAACCAUGCAGAGGAGUUUGGGGACAGGGGAACGCCGCCUGUGUUCUAAGAUUUCACCAGUGGACAUGGUAAUGUCCAAACCUGUAAUCCAGUUAACUGUUGCAUUCUACACAAUUGUCUGUCAAGCAGGCAUAGUUGGUGCUGUAACUCCAGACCCAAAUAUUUGACAAAGAUAUUAUUUUCUCCUGACAUGAUUAAUUCCUGACACCUGCACAAUGUGACUUUUCUACAGGAAUUCUGGUUGCCA